rnacentral:tRNA from 1 species
GCGCCCAUAGCUCAACGGAUAGAGCAGCGGUCUUCGGAACCGAAUAUGAGGGUUCGAUUCCCCCUGGGCGCA